CCCCCCCCCCCCCCCCCCUUCCGUGCAAGUUAAAUAAAGGUUGAAAGGAAGAGGAGCACAUUGGAGCAGAUGGAAGAGCCCAUUCCUAGAGCAGUGUGGCGCUGCGUCAUUUUUGGACUUGGAGACUGGAGACAGCUGGCAUAGCUCCUCAACGGUGUUGAUGCUGUUAUCUGUAGAUCACGAACAACUAUCUGUAGAGCACUGUCUCAGCCUUUACUUUACUUUUCAUGGAGGGUGCGAGGCACUUCUAAACACCUUUUGCUGCCCUGCCCUCCAUGGGUGAGAACUGCUCUUGGCCAGGGGCUGGCCUGUAAUUGGAGUCUAAAGUUGAAGGAUGAAGGAAGACGUAAACUAAUUGGUGUUGCUUUAACUAGGCCUGUUUUUUUUCUGCCAUGUGAAUGUUUAUGUACGCAGAUGCGUGUGUAAUCUAAAUUAACCCUAUCCAAUAAGGCCAAAUGCUGGUGAAAUGUUAGUUUUGCUGGUGAAAGAUACACUUAACUACUAGCCACUUUUACCUAUUAGUGAGUGUUUUUUCUAGUGAGAUUAACACACCUGAAGUGUGUGUGUGUGUGUGUGUGUGUGUGUGUGUGUGUGUGUGUGUGUGUGUGUGUGUGUGUGUGUGUGUGUGUGUGUUUGUGUGUGCCUACCCUACCAGGACCUUACCUUGUGGAUGUGAGUGCGUGUGUCAGAACUGAUGUACGGCUGAUUGCUGUACUCAAGUGGGUGCCAUAGGUUUACUGCAAUGUGCAAUAAUGUGUAUUAAGUCUGUGUUUUUUAUUUGUGUAUGUAUGUAAGCUGUCAGACACCUUAAUUCCAUCAGGAUUAAUAAAAGUACUACACUCUA